rnacentral:lncRNA from 10 species
GAGGCGCCAAACCUUACAUUACAUUCCCUCCCGGCUGUAGGGCUGGCGGCUAAGGCUGCGCUGCCCGCGGUGAUGGCGAUUCAGACCCAAAUUAGCAAAAUGCGCUAGAGGUUAGCCUGGGCGGAAAGUAAGUAGAGACCAUGCCCAUCGUCGACCGGACUGCGGUCAGCCUCCUUGGCGUCUGAGGUGGGCGUGCUCGGGGCGAACGCCCGCCCCGAGUGGCGUGGACGCGUCCUGGUUCUCGUGCGCCUUUCCCGGCCGGGAGCAGGCCUGUCUCGCCGCCGCCGGGGCCGCGUUCCUUCCGCUGCGUGGGGCUUUAAGGCUCCUCGGCUGGGAAGUGUCAACUUCAGGAGAAAGCGCCCGAAAGCAGUACCCUAGGAAACAGGCGCGCCGACCCAUUCGGAUUCAUCUUUACCUACAAGGUCGCGGGCGGCUUAGUCUGAAUGUGAAACCAUAAAAACUCAGCGUAUUCUCAGCUACUGGGGAGGCGAUCUCGGGGAGCAGGGAGCCAGCGGCGCUGGCCGCAGGGAAGCCUGGAUUCUGAAGCCCGGCCCGUGACUGGGGCCUUGGCUUCAGUUCUACCCCUCGUAGGGCUGGUGGAGGUGGUCACACGUCUGCUAUGGCGUGGCUGUUAGAACAAACUGGAAUAAAAUACUUAGCCCUGAGCCUUUCCCUGGUGUUUCUAAAAACUGUUUUAGUAAAAUAUUAAUUCCUUGCCGGGCGCGGUGGCUCACGCCUGUAAACCCCGCACUUUGGGAGGCCAAGGGAGGUGGAUUGCCUGAGGUCAGGAGUUCAAGAUCAGCCUGGCCAACAUGGUGAAACCCUGUCUCUACUAAAAAUAUAAAAAUUAGCCGGGCGUGAUGGCGGGCGCCUCCCCAGCUACUCGGGAGGCUGAGGCAGGAGAAUCGUUUGAACCCGGGAGACGGAGGUUGCAGUGAGUCGAGAUGACGCCACUGCGCUGCAACCUGCGCGACAGAGCGAGACUUCUAAAAAAAAAAAUUCCUUAAGUAAGACAUAGGUCAGUGUGCAGGAAGAAAGGUUGCUUAAAAAGAAAUCUAAAACUGUAAGAAAAAUGAAUGAGUUAAUAAAACCAAAUGUUUAAGAAGACAGGCACUUCCUGGAUACUUUGAAAGGAAAUAAUAGAGAUUUGUGUUCCAUUAACAC